rnacentral:rRNA from 1 species
AACGAACGCUGGCGGCAUGCCUAACACAUGCAAGUCGAACGAGAUCUUCGGGUCUAGUGGCGCACGGGUGCGUAACGCGUGGGAAUCUGCCCUUUGGUUCGGAAUAACAGUUGGAAACGACUGCUAAUACCGGAUGAUGACGAAAGUCCAAAGAUUUAGAGACAGAGGAAGAGCCCGCGUAGGAUUAGCUAGUUGGUGUGGUAAAGGCGCACCAAGGCGACGAUCCUUAGCUGGUCUGAGAGGAUGAUCAGCCACACUGGGACUGAGACACGGCCCAGAAUCGUACGGGAGGCAGCAGUGGGGAAUAUUGGACAAUGGGCGAAAGCCUGAUCCAGCAAUGCCGCGUGAGUGAUGAAGGCCUUAGGGUUGUAAAGCUCUUUUACCCGGGAUGAUAAUGACAGUACCGGGAGAAUAAGCUCCGGCUAACUCCGUGCCAGCCGCCGCGGUAA